UACGUAGGGUGCGAGCGUUAAUCGGAAUUACUGGGCGUAAAGUGUGCGCAGGCGGCCGAGCAAGUCGAGUGUGAAAGCCCCGAGCUUAACUUGGGAACUGCGCUCGAAACUACUUGGCUAGAGUGUGGCAGAGGGAGGUGGAAUUCCUGGUGUAGCGGUGAAAUGCGCAGAUAUCAGGAAGAACACCAAUGGCGAAGGCAGCUCUCUGGGACGGUACUGACGCUGAGACGCGAAAGCGUGGGGAGCGAACAGG
rnacentral:rRNA from 1 species